rnacentral:pre_miRNA from 14 species
UGUGUGCGUGUGUGUGUGUGCGUGUGUGUGUGUGUGUGUGUCUGUGCUCUGGGGCUCACGUUUAUACAUA